GACGAACGCUGGCGGCGUGCUUAACACAUGCAAGUCGAACGGGAAGGCCCUGCUUUUGUGGGGUGCUCGAGUGGCGAACGGGUGAGUAACACGUGAGUAACCUGCCCUUGACUUUGGGAUAACUUCAGGAAACUGGGGCUAAUACCGGAUAGGAGCUCCUGCUGCAUGGUGGGGGUUGGAAAGUUUCGGCGGUUGGGGAUGGACUCGCGGCUUAUCAGCUUGUUGGUGGGGUAGUGGCUUACCAAGGCUUUGACGGGUAGCCGGCCUGAGAGGGUGACCGGCCACAUUGGGACUGAGAUACGGCCCAGACUCCUACGGGAGGCAGCAGUGGGGAAUAUUGCACAAUGGGCGGAAGCCUGAUGCAGCAACGCCGCGUGCGGGAUGACGGCCUUCGGGUUGUAAACCGCUUUCGCCUGUGACGAAGCGUGAGUGACGGUAAUGGGUAAAGAAGCACCGGCUAACUACGUGCCAGCAGCCGCGGUGAUACGUAGGGUGCGAGCGUUGUCCGGAUUUAUUGGGCGUAAAGGGCUCGUAGGUGGUUGAUCGCGUCGGAAGUGUAAUCUUGGGGCUUAACCCUGAGCGUGCUUUCGAUACGGGUUGACUUGAGGAAGGUAGGGGAGAAUGGAAUUCCUGGUGGAGCGGUGGAAUGCGCAGAUAUCAGGAGGAACACCAGUGGCGAAGGCGGUUCUCUGGGCCUUUCCUGACGCUGAGGAGCGAAAGCGUGGGGAGCGAACAGGCUUAGAUACCCUGGUAGUCCACGCUGUAAACGGUGGGUACUAGGUGUGGGGUCCAUUCCACGGGUUCCGUGCCGUAGCUAGCGCUUUAAGUACCCCGCCUGGGGAGUACGGCCGCAAGGCUAAAACUCAAAGGAAUUGACGGGGCCCCGCACAAGCGGCGGAGCAUGCGGAUUAAUUCGAUGCAACGCGUAGAACCUUACCUGGGUUUGACAUGGAUCGGGAGUGCUCAGAGAUGGGUGUGCCUCUUUUGGGGUCGGUUCACAGGUGGUGCAUGCCUGUCGUCAGCUCGUGUCGUGAGAUGUUGGGUUAAGUCCCGCAACGAGCGCAACCCUUGUUCACUGUUGCCAGCACGUUAUGGUGGGGACUCAGUGGAGACCGCCGGGGUCAACUCGGAGGAAGGUGGGGAUGACGUCAAGUCAUCAUGCCCCUUAUGUCCAGGGCUUCACGCAUGCUACAAUGGCUGGUACAGAGAGUGGCGAGCCUGUGAGGGUGAGCGAAUCUCGGAAAGCCGGUCUCAGUUCGGAUUGGGGUCUGCAACUCGACCUCAUGAAGUCGGAGUCGCUAGUAAUCGCAGAUCAGCAACGCUGCGGUGAAUACGUUCCCGGGGCU
rnacentral:rRNA from 1 species